AAAUCAGAUGGUUUACCAAAUGGUGCACAGUAUGAGGAGUUAUUUGACAAACACUUGUCACUUUAAUGUUAAGUGUUAUUUAAUCCCCAUUAAGCAAUUAUGACCACUAGAGGGCAGAAAAAGAAAGAAAACAGAAUAAACUCUCAGCAACAGAGCUAUUACAUCAAUUUACCAAGCAACCCUUCCACAUUCCAGGGAGUUAUCUGACUCAUUGUUCAUGUCAAAUACAUUGGUGCUCAAAAUGAAUGGAAAUCAAAAGACAAAAUUCAAUAGCAUUUUCAGCAACACUGUAAUCCCAAACAGUUGUACUAGCUCAUAACUAAUGAGGUCAUUACAGUCAAAUGUCCUUAUGCAGUUGGCCAAACUAUAAAGUAUUGAGCUCUGUUGAGAUUUAUGCCACUUUAAUUGAAUAGGGCUCAAAAUUUGAUAGCUAAUUUCUGUGGAACACUCAAAAAGUUUAGGAACCAUACAGUUGUGUCAUGACGUUAUUGACGUCAUGACGUUUGGUGGGUGGGUCUUAUCUCUCCCUCAGGAAAGCUGAAUCAGCCAUCUUGAAUUUGCCUUCAUGCGGUGAAGUUUUCAUGGAAGUUUUGGAAAGCCCCACAGUUUAAUUUGUUUUUAUUUGUUUGCAAUGCGCACUUUUAUCCCCUUGCUUCAAACCACCACCUCAGUUUUUUUCAUCAUCAUUAUUGGCCUGCCUUUUUUUCAGCGCCGUCUUAUUAUCAGCCCUGAUUUGGCUCAAGUGUGUGGUUGUGAGAUCAUCAUCUAGAAAUCCUUUUUAAAAGUUCAGAUGUUGGACUUCAAAGAGUGCUACAGAGAGUCAGCGUUUCAAGAUCAGACAGUUGCCAAUAGGAACAACGUGAUGUAAAUAUGAGACGGGAUCUCGUCCUUCGUGCACUUCCUGUGUACCUGCGUGAAGAUGCCUCCAAGUUCUUCAGAACCUGUAAUUCAGGAGACGGUCCAGACCUCACUGACACUCCAGUGGCUCUCCUGACAGUCGUAACGGAUAACACUACUGAUGCGGCCCUCUUCAGCCCUGAGAGCAUCUGUAUUGUCGUGGAGGAUGAAAUACUUGCGAGUGGUUCCACAAAUCUGGCUGACUCAUUUCUCCUGCUCUUUGGGUACGUCUAUGCACUAGACCUACAGUACCCAAAGAAUCUCGAGCAUUUACAUUUAUACAAAAAGUUGUAAUGUGUCUUGAGGACAACAUUACAACUACUACUGACGCUGAAGAAUGAUUUGUUCAAUGAGUGAAUCACUCAGAAUGGACUAUUUGUUGAGCUGAGUAUUGAGGACGUUUGUUGUUUUUGCCUCAGAUUUAAGAUGAGACUGUUUGCCUCUUCUACCUCAGACUUGAUUCAUUGAUUGUUAAUGGAUAAAUAUCAAAACAUUGACGUAUUGCCCAGCCCAUGUUUUUGCACAAUUACUUGUUGGAAACGACUGUUCAAUCCAUGCACUAUACAUGUUUAAUGUUCUGUUACAUAUGCCUGUGUCUCAUGUGACCUUGUUAUUUGUACACACUGAUUAUAAAAAUCACAACAUAUAAAUAGGAAAAUGUUGGCGUUAUUUUGUCACUUAUUGGGAGAAGUAUGCUAUCUGGAGCCAUUUACUUCCAGUCUUUGUGCUAAGCUAGGGUAGUGUUGUGUGCGUCAGACAGUUACGGCACACACGGAGAUGAAAAGGGUAUGUGUGGACUUAUCUAACUCUGGGUGAUAUGGUGAAUAAGCUAAAGUCACAAAAAGUCGGCGUGUUCCUUUAAAUGGCUCCACAUUCUAAUAGUUUAUUGCUGUUGAGGAUGGAUAAUACUUAGAAUCUUAUAUCAUUUUAUCAUGAAUCCCUUGUGAGCUUUUAUCAUAAUGUUUACUGAAAAAAUGUGAGAUGGAGACCCAAAAUACUGAAUCUACCCUCUGUAGCAAUGACCACUAUCAGAAUAUAGAACUAUUAACACUUAAUGUACUUUAAAACACUUUAUUUCCUUUUAUUUUAAUUCAUGACAAGCACUUUGUGACUGAUCUCCUUUGAUUCUCGUGCCUUUUAAAAAGCACAUUGUUGAAUAAAAAAAGUUGCUAAAUUGUCA